UUUUUCUUAGCUUAAUUUAAGAGCAUUAGUUUGAAGCACUAGAGGUAACUUUACGUUAGGAAGCC
rnacentral:tRNA from 1 species